UACGUAGGGGCCUAGCGUUGUCCGGAUUUAUUGGGCGUAAAGAGCUCGUAGGCGGUUUGGUAAGUCGGGUGUGAAAUCUCCACGCUCAACGUGGAGGGGCCACCCGAUACUGCCAUGACUGGAGUCCGGUAGGGGAGUGUGGAAUUCCCGGUGUAGCGGUGAAAUGCGCAGAUAUCAGGAAGAACACCGGUGGCGAAGGCGGCAUCCUGGACCGAGAUUGACGCUGAGGCGCGAAAGCCAGGGGAGCAAACGGG
rnacentral:rRNA from 1 species